CACGCUGGCGGCGUGCCUCAGACAUGCAAGUCGAACGAUUAAAGCUCUCUUCGGAGAGUGCAUAGAGUGGCGCACGGGUGAGUAACACGUAAGUAAUCUACCUUCGAGUGGGGAAUAACAGUCGGAAACGGCUGCUAAUACCGCAUAAUGCAGCGGCAUCGCAAGAUGACAGUUGUUAAAGAUUUAUCGCUUGAAGAGGAGCUUGCGGCAGAUUAGCUAGUUGGUAAGGUAAUGGCUUACCAAGGCUACGAUCUGUAACCGGUCUAAGAGGACGGUCGGUCACACUGACACUGAAUAACGGGUCAGACUCCUACGGGAGGCAGCAGUCGGGAAUUUUGGGCAAUGGGCGAAAGCCUGACCCAGCAACGCCGCGUGAAGGAUGAAGUAUUUCGGUAUGUAAACUUCGAAAGAAUAGGAAGAAUUAAUGACGGUACUAUUUAUAAGGUCCGGCUAACUACGUGCCAGCAGCCGCGGUAAUACGUAGGGACCAAGCGUUGUUCGGAUUUACUGGGCGUAAAGGGCGCGUAGGCGGCAUGACAAGUCACUUGUGAAAUCUCCGGGCUUAACUCGGAACGGCCAAGUGAUACUGUCACGCUAGAGUGCGGAAGGGGCAAUCAGGAUUCUUGGUGUAGCGGUGAAA
rnacentral:rRNA from 1 species